AUUGAACGCUGGCGGCAGGCCUAACACAUGCAAGUCGAGCGGAGCACCGGCCGGGUGCGUAAUAGCAAGGAAUCUGCCUGGUAGUGGGGGAUAACGUCAGGUACCGGGAGCUAUUACCGCUAACUAUCAGAUUAGCCUAGGGCGGAUUAGCUAGGUGGUGGGGUAAAGGCAUACCAAGGCGACGAUCCGGAACUGUUCUGAGAGGAUGAUCAGUCCAACUGGAACUGAGACACGGUCCAGACUCCUACGGGAGGCAGCAGGGGGGAAGAUUGGACAAUGGGCGAAAGCCUGAUCCAGCCAUGCCGCGUGUGUGAAGAAGGUCUUCGGAUUGUAAAGCACGUUAAGUUGGGAGGCGUUACCAACAGAAUAAGCACCGGCUAACUUCGUGCCAGCAGCCGCGGUAAUAC
rnacentral:rRNA from 1 species